rnacentral:rRNA from 1 species
UACGUAGGGUGCAAGCGUUAAUCGGAAUUACUGGGCGUAAAGCGUGCGCAGGCGGUUAUGCAAGACAGAUGUGAAAUCCCCGGGCUUAACCUGGGAACUGCAUUUGUGACUGCACAGCUAGAGUACGGCAGAGGGGGAUGGAAUUCCGCGUGUAGCAGUGAAAUGCGUAGAUAUGCGGAGGAACACCGAUGGCGAAGGCAGUCCCCUGGGCCUGUACUGACGCUCAUGCACGAAAGCGUGGGGAGCAAACAGG